UGCAGGGGUGUGGGCGACCCAACUGCCCAGAAGGUAAAGCUGGCCUGCGCACUAAGCCUGGAGCUCCCACCCCACCUGCCCCUUCUCCCUUCCCCCAUUCCCAUUUAGUGACAGAAUCUAUUCCUGGUUCUCUCAUUCUCAACCAGAUGGAAGGGUCUGCUGAGAACUUCUAGAGCUGGAAGCAGAGAUCCUGAUGCCCUAGGGCAUGGUGGAGCCACAGGAUGGAAAGGGCCUGAGUCCCUGAAUUAUCACAUGGAGAUCAGCUACCUGCCAACCAGAACACCUCAAUUGUAUUCAUAUGUGAGUCAGAAAUAAACUUCUAUUGGGUUGUCACUGUAA